AGCUGGUCCGAUGGCAGUGGGUUAUCAGAACUUAUUAACAUUGGUGUCACUAAAGUUGGUAUACCACCACCCCCCCACACUGCUAAAUUUGACUGGCUUUAA
ensembl:misc_RNA Y_RNA Y RNA